GGUUUAAUUCGAAGCAACGCGAAGAACCUUACCAGGUCUUGACAUCCUCUGACAACCCUAGAGAUAGGGCUUUCCCUUCGGGGACAGAGUGACAGGUGGUGCAUGGUUGUCGUCAGCUCGUGUCGUGAGAUGUUGGGUUAAGUCCCGCAACGAGCGCAACCCUUGAUCUUAGUUGCCAGCAUUUAGUUGGGCACUCUAAGGUGACUGCCGGUGACAAACCGGAGGAAGGUGGGGAUGACGUCAAAUCAUCAUGCCCCUUAUGACCUGGGCUACACACGUGCUACAAUGGACAGAACAAAGGGCUGCGAGACCGCAAGGUUUAGCCAAUCCCAUAAAUCUGUUCUCAGUUCGGAUCGCAGUCUGCAACUCGACUGCGUGAAGCUGGAAUCGCUAGUAAUCGCGGAUCAGCAUGCCGCGGUGAAUACGUUCCCGGGCCUUGUACACACCGCCCGUCACACCACGAGAGUUUGUAACACCCGAAGUCGGUGAGGUAACCUUUAUGGAGCCAGCCGCCGAAGGUGGGACAGAUGAUUGGGGUGAAGUCGUAACAAGGUAGCCGUAUCGGAAGGUGCGGCUGGAUCACCUCCUUUCUA
rnacentral:rRNA from 1 species